UACGAAGGGGGCUAGCGUUGCUCGGAAUCACUGGGCGUAAAGGGUGCGUAGGCGGGUUUUUAAGUCAGAGGUGAAAUCCUGGAGCUCAACUCCAGAACUGCCUUUGAUACUGAAAGUCUUGAGUACGGGAGAGGUGAGUGGAACUGCAAGUGUAGAGGUGAAAUUCGUAGAUAUUCGCAAGAACACCAGUGGCGAAGGCGGCUCACUGGCCCGUAACUGACGCUGAGGCACGAAAGCGUGGGGAGCAAACAGG
rnacentral:rRNA from 1 species